ACGCUCGACACCUACGGGAGGCAGCAGUUGGGAAUAUUGGACAAUGGAGGGAACUCUGAUCCAGUGACGCCGCGUGAAGGAAGAAGGUCUUCGGAUUGUAAACUUAUUUUAUCAGGGAAGAAAGAAAUGACAGUACCUGAAGAAGAAGGACCGGCUAACUACGUGACAGCAGCCGCGGUAAUCUGAGCGGGCUGGCAAGGC
rnacentral:rRNA from 1 species